rnacentral:rRNA from 1 species
AAUCAACGCUGGCGGCGUGCCUAACACAUGCAAGUCGAACGCGACUGGGGCUUCGGCCUCAGUUGAGUGGCGAACGGGUGAGUAACACGUGGGUGACCUACCUUCGAAUGGGGAUAACGUCCCGAAACGGGACGCUAAUACCGCAUAACAUCCUGCCUUUGAACAGGCGGAGAUUAAAGCCGGGGAUCGCAAGACCUGGCGUUUGAAGAGGGGCCCGCGUCCGAUUAGCUAGUUGGUGAGGAACGGCUCACCAAGGCGACGAUCGGUAGCCGG